CGUCACGUUACAUUGUAUGUACACUGUACAGCCUGAAUUACUCGUAGGAGUUAAAAAUCGUGCUAUGUUGUGUUUUAUUUGCUGGCUUCCGGUUUGCGGAUUGCUGCAGCCGAGGAGGAGGAGGAGGAAGUUCUGGAGACCAUUUUCUUAGGCCAAUACGGUCAUUAAACCGCCAUGCCAAAAGAAAAGAAGGAAUUGUUGAAAAGGUUGGAGAUCAGUAUACAAUCACACCUUCUCUAGCCCAUCCUUGUACUUUUGACACCUACGACGCCGACCGGGACGGAGGAAUCAGUAAGCUCGAACUGCAGGCUGUACUCGGUGUCGGCGGGGACACCGACUCUCUAUUCGCGGAUUUAAAUAUAAAGCCAGAUGACGGAGUUAUUAAACCAGACGAAUUCCAUGCAACGGUGCCACUGUACAUAACUGUGUGUUUUGAUACUGACAAAUCAAACAUCUAAACAUUUCCGAGGAAGUUAUAUUUAACACAGUUAAACGGACAGCAUACAAUAUGACAUGUUGAAAUUAAUAUUGUAUUUUUUUGAACUUAGUGCAGGAUUAGGCUUCUUUUUUUUAUUUUUUUUUAUUGCACUUAAUGCUCUUUUGCUGGCGCUCUAUGCUCCCGGAAAAUCUACCUUUACAUUUUAUACUUUAUAGAGCUGGCUGAAACAACACACUUUCUGAUAUAAUUCAGUCUCCCAUCUAAAACUCAAUAUCUUUUUAUCAAGUUUAUUGCGUGCCAUCCUAUAUCUUUAAAGAUAAUUGUCAGUUAUUCUAUGUCUUUUUCAAGUUUAUUGUCAGCUUAUCGUCAGCCAUCCUAUAUCUUUUUUUUCAAGUUUAUUGACAGCCAUCCUAUAUCUGAUUUCAAGUUUAUUGUCAGCUUUCUGUCAGCAAUCUUAUAUAUUUUUUAAGUUUAUUGUCAGCUUAUUGUCAGUCAUCCUAUAUCUUUUUUCAAGUUUAUUGUCAGCUUUUUGUCAGCCAUCUUAUAUCUUUUCAAGUUUAUUGUCAGUUUAUUGUCAGUCAUCCUAUAUCUUUUUUUCAAGUUUAUUGUCAGCUUAUUGUCAGCCAUCCUAUAUCUUUUUUCAAGUUUAUUGUCUGCUUAUUGUCAGUCAUCCUAUAUCUUUUUUUCAAGUUUAUUGUCAGCUUUGUAUAAGCCAUCAUAUUUCUAUGUUGUAUUUUUCAGUCACUCUGCCCGUUUUCAAGUUCAUUUUCGGCCAGCUAUAACACUAAUGUAUUCUUUAUCAGCUGUCAAAAUGGAAAUCUAAAAUCUAGAGAAAUUAAGUACUACUUUUUCUAUUUUUUUUACAACCUUACUUUCAUGUGGGUUUGUUAACAGACAACAAAUUGUUCGUUGCGUGAUUCAAACAGGCAGGUGAAACAAGUUAUUUCAUUUCCUAGCAUUUCCUAGGUUAUAUGUUACACAAUAGGAAGAUAUACAAUAUUGUCGAGAAUUAAUCCUUCUUAAAGGGACUAACCCACACAAUUUAGGCGAAAAAUAAUUUAUCUCAAAAAUCCAUAAAAGUGAGUACUCUGAAAGUGACUUAUGGUACAAACUUAUUGACAUAAGAUUUUUGCAAGGUAUUCUUAUAAAUAACCGAAAAUUCGUAGUGUGCACAAGGUCGUAAACCGUUGCAAUGCUUUUGAAAUAAUGGGAAAAAAAAACAACAAUAUUUUCUUGCAUUUUUACCAAUAUCAAUCUUUUAUUUUCACCCACUUUAUCAUUUCUUCAGCGUAAAAUAUACAUUCUAUGCCAAACUUGGUGGAAAUUAAUAUAAUGAAACAUUUCACCCAAACUGCGGGCAAGUAGCUUUAACUGAGUAAAAUUUGAAUAUACAUUUUCAUUUUAACGUUUUUCAAAUCAAUCACUAUGGUUACGCAAUCGUUUUGAACAGCAUGUUAAAGUAAAUAAUCAUAAUAUCAAGCCUGAUGUCAAACCAAAACUCAAUGAUAUUAUCAAUGAGUUUGAUUCGUUAAAAAAUCCCCACCACAUAUCAUAGUAGCGUAAAAUAAUAACUAGAAAUAAUUUAUACAUUGUUCUUGGUAAUCGCAAUUUUAUGGUUUGAUUAGAUUUACGGACCUUGAUUUUUUCACUUUAAUUUAUAGCAGAUUUUUUCUUUGUUUGAUAAGUUUGCAUGUUUUAAGAAAUGAGACAACUAGCAAUAAAUAAAAAAUAAAUAAAUAAAAUAAUAAAAAGGAU
rnacentral:misc_RNA from 1 species